GAUGAAGAACGUAGUGAAAUGCGAUACUUGGUGUGAAUUGCAGAAUCCCGUGAACCAUCGAGUCUUUGAACGCAAGUUGCGCCCGAAGCCACUAGGCCGAGGGCACGCCUGCCUGGGCGUCACACGCCGUUGCCCCCCCAUCUACUCCUUCGGGAUUGCGGGGGGGCGGAUGAUGGCCUCCCGUGCGCCUAGCCGCGCGGUUGGCAUAAAUACCAAGUCCUCGGCGACGCACGCCACGACAAUCGGUGGUUGCGAAAACUCGGUUGCCCGUCGUGUGCGUUCGUCGCGCAUCGAGGGCUCGAAAAAAUGCUCGGCUCCGGCUGGGCUUUCAACGCGACCCCAGGUCAGGCGGGGUUACCCGCUGAAUUUAAGCAUAUCAAUAAGCGGAGGA
rnacentral:misc_RNA from 1 species